rnacentral:rRNA from 1 species
GACAGAGGGCGCAAGCGUUGUUCGGAAUUACUGGGCGUAAAGCGUGUGUAGGCGGUCUAUUAAGUCGGAUGUGAAAGCCCUGGGCUCAACCCAGGAAGUGCACUCGAAACUGGUAGACUUGAGUAUCGGAGAGGUUGGUGGAAUUCUCGGUGUAGAGGUGAAAUUCGUAGAUAUCGAGAGGAACACCAGUGGCGAAGGCGGCCAACUGGACGAAUACUGACGCUGAGACACGAAAGCGUGGGGAGCAAACAGG